GGAAAUAUCACUCGUGCUAUAAUGGUGGCGUUCCCUGAAUUAAUUGAAAAUAGGACGAGAACUGAUUCAUUUAUGGAUGCUAUGCAAAAGCUAUGCUAUAUGCUAUAUAAACCAGCUACUCUAAUAAUUUGUUAGUUUCAAACAAAGAAAAGUGUUGGUAAUACAGUACAUUAAUAAAAUAUCUAAUGGGCAUGCAA